UGGGGAAUAUUGGACAAUGGGCGCAAGCCUGAUCCAGCCAUGCCGCGUGAGUGAUGAAGGCCUUAGGGUUGUAAAGCUCUUUCAGUAGGGAAGAUAAUGACGGUACCUACAGAAGAAGCCCCGGCUAACUUCGUGCCAGCAGCCGCGGUAAUACGAAGGGGGCUAGCGUUGUUCGGAUUUACUGGGCGUAAAGCGCACGUAGGCGGAUCGUUAAGUCAGGGGUGAAAUCCUGGAGCUCAACUCCAGAACUGCCUUUGAUACUGGCGAUCUAGAGUCCGGAAGAGGUGAGUGGAACUCCUAGU
rnacentral:rRNA from 1 species